rnacentral:lncRNA from 1 species
AUGUUUAUUUUAAGGGGCAGUUUUCCUGCACAAUCCCUCUUCUUCUCUCAUCUGCUAAGAUGUGGGACAUCCCUUUCACCUUCUGCCAUGAUUGUGAGGUCUCCCCAACUACGUGGAACAGUUAUACAAGCUUGGCACAAACAUCUAUUUGGUUUCUGGAGAGACCUCAAGAAGCUGACAAUCAAGGCAGAAGGCAAAGAGGAGCCAGUGCAUCACAUGACAGAGUUCCACUCCUGUUGCCCAGGCUGGAGUGCAAUGAAUGGCACGAUCUCGGCUCACUGCAACCACCACCUCCCGGAUUCAAGCGAUUUUCCUGCCUCAGAAUCUAGAGCUGGGAUUACAGGCACCCACCACCACACCCAGCUAAUUUUUUGUAUUUUUAAUACAGACACAGUUUCACCAUGUUGGCCAGGCUGGUCUUGAACUCCUGACAGCAGGUAAUCUGCGGGGGACAUCCCAAAGUGCUAGGAUUACAGAUGUUAGCUACCGUGCCCAGGUCAAUAUCAUUUAUUAAAAAGACCAUCCUUUCCUCGAUUUAUUGCAAUGUCACUGUAAUUAACCAGGACAUCAUAUAUGUGUAAGUCUGUUUAUGGAUUUUCUCUUCCAUUACACUGGCCAGUAUGUCUAUCAUUGUGUCAGUAUCACACUAUAUUAAUCACCAUAAAUUGAUAAUGAUUGUUGGUAUCUGUUAGUAUGCGUCCUCUAGCUUUUUCACUCUUCAGGAAUGCCUUAAUAAUUCUUGCCCAUUUACAUUUCCAUAUCCAUUUUAGAGUCAGCUUUUCAAUACACACACCCCUGCUGGGAUUUUGAUUAAGAUUGAUUGAAUCUGUUGAUUAGAUUUAGAGAAAUUGGCAUGUUUAUAGUAUUGAGUCUUCCAGUCCACAAAUACGGCAUAUUGUUCACUUUAUUUAGAUCUUUAAUUUCCUUCAAUAAUGUUUGUAGAUUAUAAUGUAGACAUUUUCACAAAUGUUGUUACAUUUAACUUCUAAGCACUUUGAUUCUUCC